UAGCGCAGUUGGUAGCGCAUCACCUUGCCAAGGUGAGGGUCGCGAGUUCGAGUCUCGUCA
rnacentral:tRNA from 1 species